rnacentral:lncRNA from 1 species
UUGUGUGUUGAAUAUGGAAGAGUCUUUAUUGGUAAGGACUCUUGAUAUCUCAUGCCAUUUUCUUUCUCACACGCCAUAUGAUGGUAUUUAGAUUUUUCUACAUAGAGGAGGAGUUCUUCUAUAGAUAAAACUCUUCUUAUUCUACACCACACACCUUUGGAUUACAUGCUAAAAAAUUAUUUUUAACGUGUAAGGGAGAUGGGAUGCCACGAGUUGGCACCCCUUGGAAAUUAUGUGGUGCCCCUUCAUACCUUAUAUAAGGGGCACUUCAUAUGGCAUAAAAUUUAUCCCAAGAGUGGUUUAGGUGUGGGAUU